rnacentral:rRNA from 1 species
GAUGAACGCUGGCGGCGUGCCUAAUACAUGCAAGUCGAGCGAACAGACGAGGAGCUUGCUCCUCUGACGUUAGCGGCGGACGGGUGAGUAACACGUGGAUAACCUACCUAUAAGACUGGGAUAACUUCGGGAAACCGGAGCUAAUACCGGAUAAUAUAUUGAACCGCAUGGUUCAAUAGUGAAAGACGGUUUUGCUGUCACUUAUAGAUGGAUCCGCGCCGCAUUAGCUAGUUGGUAAAGUAACGGCUUACCAAGGCAACGAUGCGUAGCCGACCUGAGAGGGUGAUCGGCCACACUGGAACUGAGACACGGUCCAGACUCCUACGGGAGGCAGCAGUAGGGAAUCUUCCGCAAAGGGCGAAAGCCUGACGGAGCAACGCCGCGUGAGUGAUGAAGGUCUUCGGAUCGUAAAACUCUGUUAUUAGGGAAGAACAAAUGUGUAAGUAACUAUGCACGUCUUGACGGUACCUAAUCAGAAAGCCACGGCUAACUACGUG